rnacentral:rRNA from 1 species
UGGGGAAUAUUGCUUCUAUGGGGGGAACCCUGACGCAGCCAUGCCGCGUGAAUGAAGAAGGCCUUAGGGUUGUAAAGUUCUUUCGGUAUUGAGGAAGGUUGAUGUGUUAAUAGCACAUCAAAUUGACGUUAAAUACAGAAGAAGCACCGGCUAACUCCGUGCCAGCAGCCGCGGUAAUACGGAGGGUGCGAGCGUUAAUCGGAAUAACUGGGCGUAAAGGGCACGCAGGCGGUUAUUUAAGUGAGGUGUGAAAGCCCCGGGCUUAACCUGGGAAUUGCAUUUCAGACUGGGUAACUAGAGUACUUUAGGGAGGGGUAGAAUUCCACGUGUAGCGGCGAAAUGCGUAGAGAUGUGGAGGAAUACCGAAGGCGAAGGCAGCCCCUUGGGAAUGUACUGACGCUCAUGUGCGAAAGCGUGGGGAGCAAACAGGAUUAGAUACCCUGGUAGUCCACGCUGUAAACGCUGUCGAUUUGGGGGUUGGGGUUUAACUCUGGCGCCCGUAGCUAACGUGAUAAAUCGACCGCCUGGGGAGUUACGGCCGCAAGGUUA